rnacentral:rRNA from 1 species
AUUGAACGCUGUCGUCAGGCCUAACACAUGCAAGUCGAACGAGUGGCGGACGGGUGAGUAAUGGCUGGGAAACUGCCUGAUGGCGUGGGAUAACUACUUGAAACGGUAGCUAAUACCGCAUACCAUCGGAUGUGCCCAGAUGGGAUUCGCUAGUAGGUGGGGUAACGGCUCACCUAGGCGACGCUCCCUAGCUGGGAUGAGAGGAUGACCAGCCACACUGGAACUGAGACACGGUCUAGACGCCUACGGGAGGCAGCAGUGGGGAAUAUUGCACAAUGGGCGCAAGCCUGAUGCAGCCAUGCCGCGUGUAUGAAGAAGGCCUUCGGGUUGUAAAGUACUUUCAGAGGGGAGGCGUUACCCGCAGAAGAAGCACCGGCUAACUCCGUGCCAGCAGCCGCGGUAAGAC